rnacentral:rRNA from 1 species
AUUGAACGCUGGCGGCAUGCCUUACACAUGCAAGUCGAACGGUAACAGGUCUUCGGAUGCUGACGAGUGGCGAACGGGUGAGUAAUACAUCGGAACGUGCCUAGUAGUGGGGGAUAACUACUCGAAAGAGUGGCUAAUACCGCAUGAGAUCUACGGAUGAAAGCAGGGGAUCGCAAGACCUUGUGCUACUAGAGCGGCCGAUGGCAGAUUAGGUAGUUGGUGGGAUAAAAGCUUACCAAGCCGACGAUCUGUAGCUGGUCUGAGAGGACGAUCAGCCACACUGGGACUGGGACACGGCCCAGACUCCUACGGGAGGCAGCAGUGGGGAAUUUUGGACAAUGGGCGCAAGCCUGAUCCAGCAAUGCCGCGUGCAGGAUGAAGGCCUUCGGGUUGUAAACUGCUUUUGUACGGAACGAAAAGCCCUGGGUUAAUACCCUGGGGUCAUGACGGUACCGUAAGAAUAAGCACCGGCUAACUGCGUGCCAGCCGCCGCGGUAAAAC